GGCCAUGUGUGCGCCGAACAUACCAUGCACGCAUGGAUGAGGGGGGGGGGGGGUACUCCCCAGAAAAUUUUUGAAAUUUGAAGCACAGAAAUGCCAUUUCCUGCAUUCUGAGCAUCCAAAUGCGCUCCAAAAUGUAUACUAAAUAUACUUGUAUUUGAAAUAAAAGAAGGAAAAAACCCACAAAAAGUAAAAAAAUAUUAACCAUAAUUUAUCAUUACUUAUUAGAGGAGGAUCCCAAUGGUCACGUGUGUGGGGGUGUACUCCCCAGAAAAUUUUUGAAAUUUGAAACACGGAAAUGCCAUUUCCUGCAUUCUGAGCAUCCAAAUUUGCUCUAAAAUUAUGCUAACUAUACUUGUAUUUGAAAUAAAAGAAGGAAAAAAUGCACAAAAAGUAAAAAAGAAUAUUAACCGUAUACGUAAUUUACCAUUAUACUUAUUAGAGGGGGAUACCAAUGGCCGAAGGCCACGUGUGUGGGGGGCAUAAUCUCCAGAAAAUUUUUCAAAUUUGAAACUUGGAAAUGCUCUUUCCUGCAUUCUGAGCAACCAAAAAAUAAAAAAUUAUUAACAAUAAUUUAUCAUUACUUAGUGGUAGAAAAACG